rnacentral:rRNA from 1 species
GACGAACGCUGGCGGCGUGCUUAACACAUGCAAGUCGAACGGAAAGGACUGCUUUUUCUUGUGGAUUGCGGGUACUCGAGUGGCGAACGGGUGAGUAGCACGUGAGUGCUCUGCCCCCAACUUGGGUAUAAGAACGGGAAACUGGACCUAAUUCCCGUUAGGACUGCAGGGUGGUGCCUGUGGUGGAAAACGAUUCUCUAGUGGAUGGGGGUGAGCUCGCGGCCUAUGUGCUUGUGGGUGGGGUAAUGGCAGCCCAAGGCGGCGACGCGUAGCCGGACUGAGAGGGUGGACGGUGACAUUGGGACUGGGAUACGGCCCAGACGCGUACGAGAGGCAGCAGUGGGGAAGAAUGGACAAUGAGCGUGAGCCUGAAGCGGCGACGGAGCGUGGGAGAUGUCGGGCUUCGGGUUGUCUACUCCUUGCGAACGCGAAGUAGCCACGUGAUUGGUAGGGUGGUGACGGUAGUUGUAGAAGAAGCAACGGCUAACUACGUG